GCUCCCUAACCCCUCUUCCUUCUAGUCUCCAGCCUCCACAACGCGAAGCAGCAGUCCAGAGUCCAGACUCUAGCCCCAAUUCGUCUCAACCUCAUCGAAGCCGCCGGCGCAUGUUCGUCCAGCCACCGCCGCCGUCCCAACUUCGAGCUUCGAAGGCAACGGCGCAACGUCCAUCCAGCCACCGCCGUUUGAGCUUCAAAAAUCGAAGCCACCGUCGCCGGUCUCGCCUCUUGCCUCCGUCGCGCAGCCACUUCCUGCCGGUGCCAGCUCUGUUUCACACCACCACGUCGGCCACUGUCUUCCCAGCCACCGUCCCCAGCCACUUCCACACCCUCACCAGCUCUGCCCUGUUCCAGCCUUCCAGGAUCCAACUUCUAGUCUAGCUGUCAUUGGAGCCAUUCACACAACCACUUUGGCCAAGCUCUCUGCUAAAAGGCAAGAAGUUCUUUCUCCAGCAGGCAACAUUGUUGAACAGAUGCCAUUCUUGAGUACUUCCUAGAAGCUGCAGUGAACAAUUUCAGAAUUAGUCGCAUUGAUCAAAAUCUGUGGCAUCCUGAUUAUCGCAGCAACAGAGUUGUUCUUUAUGUUCUUGUGAAGAAAUGAAGGUUUCAGAAUUAAUGAAACUAUGUUACUUUAUAGUUUAUACUCUACUAGAGUGUGACCCUCCUAUGCUAGGAUUCAUUGUAAAAGUUAUUCUCCUUCCAUGUAUUAUUUUUUGAUAUCAUGCUCAUUUUGAGAAGCCUAACAAUUUUGUUUUGACAGAUAAAAGUGGACUAUGAUCUGUGAACCAUUUUCAGUGAAUUCAUUCACAACCACUGUUAAGAAGACACAAUUUUGUAAUGCUUGAUGGAACAACUAAAGCUCCAAUUCUUGCUUGGUUAUCAUCAAAGGAUAAUCUCUGAAUCCAAAAUAUUUAAUAUAGAACAAAGGUUACUUAAAUUCUAACAUGUAAAUUGUAAUACAAAGUAAAGUGUUGAUUAAAUAAUUCCUAAAGCUAGAUACAUAUGUACUUUCUAAAUUAUCUAUCAAAAAGAUUUUAAAAUUAAAAGUUAGUCACAAAAAUGACUAGUUUAUAGUUCAAAUAAUUUUCAUGUGUUUAUUUAUAUUUUAUUUAUUAUUUUAUUAUAAAACGGUUUUUUCGGUUCAACUAUGGUUAAACCGGUUGAACCUAUGAACCAGUAAACCAGUCAUUAGAGCGGUUCGAUGACCGGUUCGGUUUUCAGAACCUUGGAAAUAACCAAUGCUAUCUUGAGUAACAACAUUCUUCUGCAAAUUAUAAAAAAAAAAAAAGCACUAUGCAUCAA